rnacentral:ncRNA from 1 species
AGUGACAAAGGGCAAACCCGUUGAAAGGCGGGGACGCAAAGCCACGGGUCUAAGGUUGCAGUAAAUGCAGCUAUGACAGCCGGGUUGCCAAA